UCUGUUCUCUCUCAGUCCUAGCAAAGAUGACUGCAAACACUCUAGUGAUCUGCUCUCUACUGCUUUCUCUUGCUGGUUGUUCAGCUGAGAUCAUUCUGACUCAGAGUCCGUCAGUGGAUUCGGUGUCUGUGGGAAGCAGCGUCACUCUCAACUGCAGAUCCAGCAGUGACAGUUUUACAUCUAGUUUAGCCUGGUAUCAUCAGAAACCCGGACAAACACCCAAACUCCUGUUCUCUAGUGUUGGCAGCAAAGUGUCUGGAGUUUCUGAAAGAUUCACUGAUGGGAGAUCAGGAACAAACUUCAUGCUCAAUAUCAGAAACGUCCGGUCUGAAGACGCAGGAGAUUAUUACUGUCAACAGCAUUAUGAACGGCCAUGA